rnacentral:tRNA from 1 species
UAGCUCAGUGGUUAGAGCGACGGUCUUAUGAGCCGUAGGUCGUGGGUUCGACCCCCGC